rnacentral:tRNA from 11 species
UUGGGAUAGCUCAGUUGGUAGAGCAGAGGACUGAAAAUCCUCGUGUCACC